rnacentral:rRNA from 1 species
CCCUUAGAUGUCCGGGGCCGCACGCGCGCUACACUGAAGGAAUCAGCGUGGCUUUCUCCCUGACCCGAAAGGGUUGGGAAACCCGUUGAAUCUCCUUCGUGAUAGGGAUUGGGGCUUGAAAUUGUUCCACAUGAACGAGGAAUUCCCAGUAAGCGCGAGUCAUAAGCUCGCGUUGAUUACGUCCCUGCCCUUUGUACACACCGCCCGUCGCUACUACCGAUUGAACGGUUUAGUGAGGGCCUCGGAUUGGUCUCGGCCCGCUCUUUACCGGGCGGCGCCGUUGGUCGAGAAGACGCUCGAACUUGAUCGUUUAGAGGAAGUAAAAGUCGUAACA